AUGCAGCCGGCACGCACCUCUCCUCUGACGGGAACCGAAGGAGCCGGUAGGUUUUCACACUUGCAGCAGAUCAGCUAAGAGAACGCGGGAUUCAGCCGAGAAGCCACUGGGAGCCCGAGGAGCGGAGCAGAGGCACCCAGGCAGCCUGCGCGGAGAAAUCGGAUAGGCGGGGACGGCCUGCAGCUCCCGCGCGCGGGGAAAGGGAAGAAGUCCUCCCCUACAAAGCAAAUUCACAAACUUGGAAGAAGCAAUUUACACAGGAUGCGCAGAUCUCAACGGAAGGACACGGGAAACGUGAAAAAGCAAGGAAGUGGGACGCCUCCAAAGGAACCCAGUAAUUCUCCAGCAACAGAUCCCCAUCCAAAAGAAAUUCAAGAAAUGUCAUAUAGAGAAUUGUGGAAACUGAUUUUAACCAAGAUUAGAGGGAUUCAAGAGACUUCUGAAAAAGAAAGUAAGGAAAUGUCAACAGCAAUUCUGGAUAUGGUUGAGGUAUUUACCAACCAGAUAGAGUUUUCCAGAGCACAUGGCAAAUGUGGAACUGAAGAAAUCACUGGAUGAAAUACAAAGUAUACUCGAAAGCUUCAAUGAUAGACUAGAUCAAGCAGAAAAAAAACUCUCAAAACUUAAAAUCUGAAGCCUUUUACUCAAUUCAAAUAUUUAAUGGGUUGUACUCUGGCCAUUCAGGUGAACAAAAUCUGCUGGG
rnacentral:antisense_RNA from 1 species